GUGAAACCGCAAAAGGCUCAGUAAACCAGUCAUGAUUCACUUGAGUAUACUUGACUGUCUUUGGAUAACUGUGGUAAUCCUAGAGCUAAUACAUGCAAUCAAGUCCCGACCAGUCUGACUGGGAAGGACGCUUUUAUUAGAUCAAGACCAAUCGCCCGGUUCGUCCGGGCGUAGCCUUGGUGACUCUAGGUAACACAUCAGAUCGCAUGGUCUCAGCACCGGCGACUCAUCUUUCAAAUGCCUGACUUAUCAACUGUCGAUGGUAGACUCUAUGUCUACCAUGGUUGUAACGGGUAACGGGGAAUCAGGGUUCGAUUCCGGAGAGGGAGCCUGAGAAACGGCUACCACAUCCAAGGAAGGCAGCAGGCACGCAAAUUACCCACUCCCGGCACGGGGAGGUAGUGACAAAAAAUAACGAUACGGGACUCUUUUGAGGCCCCGUAAUCGGAAUGAGAACACUUUAAAUCCUUUAUCGAAGAUCCAUUGGAGGGCAAGUCUGGUGCCAGCAGCCGCGGUAACUCCAGCUCCAAAAGCGUAUAUUAAAGUUGUUGCGGUUAAAAAGCUCGUAGUUGGUUCUGCGUGCUACGCUGUUGGUUCGCCGCCUGUCGGUGUAACUGGCAUGCCGUGGCAUGUCCUGUCGGUGGCGAGCGGGAGCCUUGUCUGGUGUCAAGUUUCGGGUUCGUCCCGUUAUUUGGCUACCGGGGGUCCAACCCGUUCGCCUACUUCAUCCUACCUAGGUGCUCUUCACCGAGUGUCGAGGUAGGCCGACACGUUUACUUUGAACAAAUUAGAGUGCUCAAAGCAGGCUGAAAUCUCUGCCUGAAUAGUGGUGCAUGGAAUAAUGAAACAGGACCUUGGUUCUAUUUUGUUGGUUCUUAGGAACACAAGGUAAUGAUCAAUACGGACAGGCGGGGGCAUUCGUAUUGCGACGUUAGAGGUGAAAUUCUUGGAUCGUCGCAAGACGCACAAGAGCGAAAGCAUUUGCCAAGUAUGUCUUGAUUGAUCAAGACCAUAAACGAUGCCAGCCAGCGAUCCGCCGAUGUUCCUCCGAUGACUCGGCGGGGAGCUUCUUCCCGGGAAACCAAAGCUUUUGGGUUCCGGGGGAAGUAUGGUUGCAAAGCUGAAACUUAAAGGAAUUGACGGAAAGGCACCACCAGGACUGGAGCCUGCGGCUUAAUUUGACUCAACACGGGAAACCUCACCAGGCCAGGACAUUGGAAGGAUUGACAGAUUGAUAGCUCUUUCUUGAUUCAGUGGGUAGUGGUGCAUGGCCGUUCUUAGUUGGUGGAUCGAUUUGUCUGGUUAAUUCCGAUAACGAACGAGACUCUAGCCUAUUAACUAGGCGUUACCGGUGUCCUCGCCACCGGCGACACUCAUUCUUCUUAAGGGGACAGGCGGCUUAUAGCCGCACGAGAUUGAGCGAUAACAGGUCUGUGAUGCCCUUAGAUGUCCUGGGCCGCACGCGCGCUACACUGAAGGAAUCAGCGUGUGACUCCCAGGCCGAAAGGUCCGGGUAAUCCGCUGAACCUCCUGCGUGCUAGGAAUUGGGGCUUGCAAUUGUUCCCCAUGAACGAGGAACUCCCAGUAAGCGCGAGUCAUAAGCUCGCGUUGAUUACGUCCCUGCCCUUUGUACACACCGCCCGUCGCUACUACCGAUUGAAUGAUUUAGUGAGGUCUUCGGACUGGCGGUAAUCGCGGCCGACUCGUCGGUCGUGAUGAACGUUGGGAAGAUGACCAAACUUGAUCAUUAGAGGAAGUAAAAGUCGUAACAAGGUUCCCGUAGGUGA
rnacentral:rRNA from 1 species